UGCACUAGUUAAAAAUGAACCUAAAGUUUUGAGUUUGAAACAAAUAUUAUUAGAAUUUAUUAAGCAUAGAAAAGAAGUUGUUAUUAGAAGAACUAACUAUGAACUAAAAAAAGCAGAGGAAAGAGACCAUGUACUACAAGGAUUAUUAAUUGCAUUAAAAGAUAUAGAUGAAAUAAUUAAAUUAAUAAAAAGAAGUAAAGAAGUGAAAGAUGCAAGAGAAGGAUUAAUUGUAAAUUAUAUUUUAACUGAAGUACAAGCAAAUGCAAUUCUUGAUAUGAAACUAAGUAGAUUAGCUGCAUUGGAACAGCAAAAAAUCUUAGAUGAACAUAAUGAAUUAUUGAAAUUUAUAGAAGAAUGCAAGAGUAUAUUAAAUUCUGAUGAAAGAGUCAAAGCAAUAAUUAAAGAUGAAUUAAUAGGAAUAAAAAAUAAAUAUGGUGAUGAAAGAAAAACAGAAAUAAUAGAAUCUGAAGAAGAGCAAAUAGAAACUGAAGACCUAAUAGAAAAUGAAAAGGCAGUAAUAACAAUUACACAUUCAGGCUAUGCAAAGCGUGUGUCUCUAGAUGAAUAUAGGGCACAAAAAAGAGGCGGAAAGGGGGUAAUAGGAACAGAAACAAAAGAUGAUACAGACUUCGUAGAACAUUUAUUUGUCACGGAAACAAAAGAUUAUUUAUUAUUAUUCACAGAUAAAGGAAAUAUACAAUGGUUAAAAGCAUAUCAAAUACCUGAAGCUGGAAGAUAUGCAAAAGGAACAGCAAUAGUUAAUUUAAUCAAAUUAGAAAAAGAUGAAAAAUUAGCAUCAAUAGUUUCAGUUAAAGAAUUUACAAAAGAUAAAUAUUUAUUAAUGGCAACAAAAAAUGGAAUAAUAAAAAAGACAUCAUUAGAAGAAUAUUCAAGACCAAGACAAGGAGGAAUAAUUGCUAUAAACUUAAGAGAUAAUGAUAAAUUAAUUGGAGUAAAAAUAACAGAUGGAACAAAACAAUUAAUAUUAGCGACAAAAGAGGGUCGUGCUUCUAGAUUUAGAGAAUCUGAUGUAAAUGUUGUUGGGCGUAAUAGCAUAGGUGUUAAAGGUAUUAAUGUAAGAAAUUCUGAAGUAAUAGGAUUUGAAGUUAUUGAUUGUCCAUACUUAUUAACUAUCACAGAAAAAGGAUACGGAAAAAGAACAAAUGUAGAAGAGUAUAGAUUAAUUAACCGUGGCGGAAGUGGUGUUACUAAUAUAAAAAUUACAGAAAAAAAUGGAAUUGUAGCUGGAAUAAAAAUAAUAAAUGAACAAGAUGAGUUAAUGAUAAUAACUAAAAGUGGAAUAAUAAUAAGGACACCAGUAAAAGGGAUAUCUGUAAUUGGGCGUAACACUCAAGGUGUACGAAUGAUGAAUAUAGAAAAUGGCGAUUCUGUUGGAACAAUAACAAGAAUUAUUGGAGAAAAUGGAGAUAUAGAAAAAGUUAAAGAAGACUACAAACCUAGUGAAAAAGUGAUAGAUGAAACAGAAGAAUUAAUUAAGAAUACAGUAACAAAUGAUAUAACAACGGAGGAAGAAAAUGACAGCGAAAACAGGAGAGUUUAAAGGACAUAAAACAUUAAUAUUAAGUGAUGAUGGAGAUACUUCAGAAAAAUAUCCAUUUUCAUUCGGAUUAAAGAAAGCAAAAUUAAUAUUAGAACAUAUUGAAGAUAUUAAAAAGUUUGUUGAAGAAAACGGAAAAGAAUAAAAUUAGAAAAUAAUACAGAAUAAGUUUAGGCAAGAGGAAGGAUGAAGAAUAGAUGGAUUCAAGAAUGAAUAAAGUAGAAAGAAUUGGUUUCGGAAUCAAAAGAAUGAAAGAAGCAAUGCAAAAAGAAAAUUUACGAACACCAGAAAUACAAGUUAGUGAACUUAAUAGUUUUUUUACUAUAAUAUUUAAAAGACCAUUUACCGCCCAGGUUAAUACCGAGAAAACUAUGGAGAAGAUUUUAAUAAUAAUUAAAGAUAAUCUUAAAAUAACUCAAAAUGAAAUUUCUGAAAAAACAGGAUUGACAAGAAAAGGUAUUGAAUGGAAUUUGCAGCAGCUUAAAGAAAAAGGAAUUAUAAAAAGAAUAGUCCCAGAUAAAUGGGGGCAUUGAGAUAUAAUAAAAUGAUAGAAGAAACAGAAGAAUACCAAGAUAAAUUAGCUAAAGAAGCACAAGAAUUAGUUGAUGAAACAUUUCCAAAUCUUUGGAAAGGAGUUAAAGAAGAUAUGAAGGAUCGUUCUAAAAAAGAAUUAGCUGAAAGAAUGUAUUUAUUCGGUAUAAUGACUCAUAUGAGAAUUAUUGAUAUUGCAGAUAAUGAGAUUGUGGAACAAGCAGAGAAAGAUCCUAAACUAAAAAAAAUGUUUGAUAAGAUGAAAGAAGAGAUUGGAAAGGACGAUGAAGAGUAAUAAAAUAUUUACAUACAAACUAUCCCCCUCAUCACUGAAUUUAUUUAAUGAAUGUAAAAGAUGUUUUUGGCUAACACAACAUAAAGUCUGGAAAAGACCAAGCGGGCCGUUCCCACAACUGCCAAACGGAAUGGAUAGAAUACUAAAAGCACAUUUUGAUAAUUUUAUGAAAAAAGGAAAACUACCACCAGAAAUAAGAGAACAUCAUCAUACAACAGGAUUAAAACUAUUUGAUAACGAAGAACUACUAAAAGAAUAAUAAAUUAGAUCAAUGUUAUUUAUAUUCAACAUAUUGGACUUUUAGUCGUUCUAUAACUUCAGAAGAAUGGAAAGUACAUCUUUUAGAAAGUGAUAAAAUAAACCCAAUAGAGUGUAUAGGAUUUGAUGAGUUAAAUAGAAUAAUAAAAAAUAAUUCCCCAAACUGUUAAUAGGGUAAUAUAAGGAUUUUAUAUAAUUAGUUUACGAUAAAAAUAGGGUAUAAAAUCUUUAUUUAUCAAUUCUUUUUUCAUUUAAAUUAACAAAUUAUUUUUAGAAUUAAUAAACUUUACCUAGAAAUUUUGGAAAAACAAUAGUAUUUUAGAAAAUCUUUCAUCAAGGAAAAUGCAAAAUAAUAUUUUUCAGUCAGAAAAAAAUAGUUUUCUUAAAAUUUUAAUUUAUCCAAGAUACUAAAAGUAUCUUUAUUAAAUUUAGAAAAAGCAAACCAUUUUUUACCUAAAUCUUUCAAAGAAGCACCAAUAUGAUAAACUUCUUUAUUAUCAAUUAUAAUAAAUCUAUCGUGACAUUUAUCAAAAUCUCUAAUUUCAAUAUUACCAUACUGUAAAUUAUACUUAUUAACAUCGAGCAAUAAUUGUUUAGAAAUUUUAUUAGUAAAAAUAACAACUUUAACAGUCUUAUUUCUUUUAUUAAAUAGUGUUAAUAUUGAAUCAUCCACAUAAUUAUCAAUAAGAAUUAUAGAAUGAGCAGCACUUCUAAUAAUAUCACAAACAAACUUAUAAGCAUCAAAAAUUUGACCAUCAAAAAAUAUACCCUUAUCAGGAAUAAUAUCCUUACUUUGUAUAGCAUCAAAAACCUCUUCAAAUUUUUUAUCAUACUCAAUAUAUUUAAAUUCAAUAAAAUCCAAGCGACGAAAAAUAUCCGCAUUAUUAAUGAGAAAUUUACGCAUAGAAACAAAAGCAUUUAUUAUUUGUAUGCUCACACUUAUAGCAGUGUUGCUUCUUAAUACACCAGAUAACAUUGCUACACCUUGUUCUGUAAAAACAUAAGGUAAAUACUUCCUAUGUAAUCCUCUUCCUUUUUCUAAAAUUUUACUGUCUAUGGUCGCAAAUUGCGACCUUAAAUUUAGAUAUUCUUUAUCAUUUAACUGAAACAUAAAACUUUCAGGAAAUCUUUCAAUAUUUCUUUUAACUUGUUCAUUUAAUCUUUUAACACUAACUCCAUAAAAACGAGCUAUGUCAUCAUCAAUCAUUACUUGCAUACUCCUAAUAAGAUAAAUUUUCUCUCUAAUAUUAGUUUCAUUCAAAAUCAAUUUAUCGCCCAUUUAAUAUAUUCUAAUUCCACAAUUUAAAAAUCUUUAUCAACAAUUUCUGAAAAAAACAAUAGUAUUUUAGAAAAUCUUUCAUCAAGGAAAAUGCAAAAUAAUAUUUUCCAGUCAGAAAAAAAUAGUUUUCUAAAACCUAGGUUUGUGCGUGAAAACAAAGUUUUCUUAAAUUCAUCUAAAAUCCACAUUUUUAAAAUACAUUUUUUUGUUUAUAUCUUUUCUUAAUAUAUCCACAAAUUUGAAAAUCAUUCUAGAAAGUUUAUUAAUUCUAUCAUAAAAAAAUAAAUAUUCAUCAUUAGGAAUAUAUUUCAAAUCCUUAGAUAAAGAAAAUAAAACUUCUAAUUCUUUGCAGGAUCCAUAAGCAUAAUUUAAAAAUUGUAAAAAUUCUUUUUUACUUGAUCUCGUUGAACCUUCAGUAAUAUUCAAAGGCAUUGAAACUGAAGCUCUUCUAAUCUGAGAAGUCAAAUUAUUAAUUUCAUGUUCAGGAAAUUUAAAUGUAAUAUUAUAUGCUUCAAGAACAAAUGCAUGCCCUUCUUUAUAGAUAUUUAAAUCUUCAUAUUUUACCAUACAUUAUUUAAGAUUUUAUUUUUAAUAAGUCCUUCUGCUAUUUUUUUGAAAGAAUAAAUUAAAUUUUUGAAAAGUUUUUACAUUUAGAACAAAAAGCUUUUUAAACAACUUCAAAUGCCAAUAUCCUAUGAAAAGAUCUUCAAGGCGAUGGAAGAAGAAAAGACAAAUGCGUUGGAAGUGGCAGCGUAAAAGGAUUAGAAAAGAAAAACGAAGACGUAAAGCAAAUAGAUAAAUUCUGAAUUUUAAAAAAAAACGACGAUACAAUAAAAAGGUUUAAAUAUAACCAAUUGUUGCAAAUAAUACUUUAUAAGUGAUGAAAGUAUUAACUUUCAGAUAUAGUCAGUGAGUACUUGAAUUAAUUUUUAAGUAUGAAGGUAUAAGAAAGAGCAAAAAUCACAAGAAGUAGUGACGUUAAUAAACCAAUUUUCUUGCGACCAUAAUAAUUCCCGUUGAUCCUGCGGGAGAUCGCUGCUAUUGGAAUCCGAAUUAGCCAUGCAAGUUAGGGAGUAGUAAUACUACCGGCAUAAGGCUCAGUAACACGUCGAUAAUUUGCCCUUAGGCCUAGAAUAACCUUGAGAAAUUGAGGCUAAUACUAGAUAAAAGACGGAUACUGGAAUGUUCCAUCUUUGAAAGGUAACACCUAAGGAUAAGUCGGCGGCUGAUUAGGUUGUUGGUGAGGUAAAGGCCCACCAAGCCAUGGAUCAGUAGGGGGGAUGAGAGUCCUAGCCCCGAGAAGGGCACUGAGAUACUGGCCCUAGCCCUAAGGGGUGCAGCAGGCGCGAAAACUCUACAAUGCGCGAAAGCGUGAUAGGGGGAUCCCAAGUGCUUUGCCUUCGGGUAAAGCUUUUGUUGAGUCUAAGAAUCUCAGCGAAUAAGUGGUGGGUAAGACGGGUGCCAGCCGCCGCGGUAACACCUGCGCCACAAGUGGCGAUCGCGUUUAUUGGGUCUAAAGCGUCCGUAGCCGGCUUGUUAAGUCUUUUGUGAAAUUGUUGGGCUUAACCUAACAGAUGGCAAAAGAAACUAUCAAACUAGAGACCGGGAAGAGGUAGGGGUAUUUUGGGGGUAGCGGUAAAAUGUUAUAAUCCUCAAAGGACCACCAGUGGCGAAGGCGCCUGCCUAGAACGGGUCUGACGGUGAGGGACGAAGGCCAGGGGAGCAAAACGGAUUAGAUACCCGAGUAGUCCUGGCAGUAAACUCUGCAAGCUAUGUGUUGCACAUUCUUCGAGAAUGUGCAGUGCCUAAGUGAAGACGUUAAGCUUGCCACCUGGGAAGUACGGUCGCAAGACUGAAACUUAAAGGAAUUGGCGGGG
rnacentral:rRNA from 1 species